rnacentral:rRNA from 1 species
AUUGAACGCUGGCGGCAGGCCUAACACAUGCAAGUCGAGCGGAUGAGAGGAGCUUGCUCCUUGAUUCAGCGGCGGACGGGUGGGUAAUGCCUAGGAAUCUGCCUGGUAGUGGGGGACAACGUUUCGAAAGGAACGCUAAUACCGCAUACGUCCUACGGGAGAAAGCAGGGGACCUUCGGGCCUUGCGCUAUCAGAUGAGCCUAGGUCGGAUUAGCUAGUUGGUGAGGUAAUGGCUCACCAAGGCGACGAUCCGUAACUGGUCUGAGAGGUUGAUCAGUCACACUGGAACUGGAACACGGUCCAGACUCCUACGGGAGGCAGCAGUGGGGAAUAUUGGACAAUGGGCGAAAGCCUGAUCCAGCCAUGCCGCGUGUGUGAAGAAGGUCUUCGGAUUGUAAAGCACUUUAAGUUGGGAGGAAGGGCAGUAAGUUAAUACCUUGCUGUUUUGACGUUACCGACAGAAUAAGCACCGGCUAACUCUGUGCCAGCCGCCGCGGUAA